rnacentral:rRNA from 1 species
UUGAUCCAUGGCUCAGAUUGAACGCUGGCGGCAGGCCUAACACAUGCAAGUCGAGCGGUAGAGAGAAGCUUGCUUCUCUUGAGAGCGGCGGACGGGUGAGUAAUGCCUAGGAAUCUGCCUGGUAGUGGGGGAUAACGCUCGGAAACGGACGCUAAUACCGCAUACGUCCUACGGGAGAAAGCAGGGGACCUUCGGGCCUUGCGCUAUCAGAUGAGCCUAGGUCGGAUUAGCUAGUUGGUGAGGUAAUGGCUCACCAAGGCGACGAUCCGUAACUGGUCUGAGAGGAUGAUCAGUCACACUGGAACUGAGACACGGUCCAGACUCCUACGGGAGGCAGCAGUGGGGAAUAUUGGACAAUGGGCGAAAGCCUGAUCCAGCCAUGCCGCGUGUGUGAAGAAGGUCUUCGGAUUGUAAAGCACUUUAAGUUGGGAGGAAGGGCAGUAAAUUAAUACUUUGCUGUCUUGACGUUACCGACAGAAUAAGCACCG